rnacentral:rRNA from 1 species
GAUGAACGCUGGCGGCGUGCCUAAUACAUGCAAGUCGAGCGAACAGACGAGGAGCUUGCUCCUCUGACGUUAGCGGCGGACGGGUGAGUAACACGUGGAUAACCUACCUAUAAGACUGGGAUAACUUCGGGAAACCGGAGCUAAUACCGGAUAAUAUAUUGAACCGCAUGGUUCAAUAGUGAAAGACGGUUUUGCUGUCACUUAUAGAUGGCUCCGCGCCGCAUUAGCUAGUUGGUAAGGUAACGGCUUACCAAGGCAACGAUGCGUAGCCGACCUGAGAGGGUGAUCGGCCACACGGGAACUGAGACACGGUCCAGACUCCUACGGGAGGCAGCAGUAGGGAAUCUUCCGCAAUGGGCGAAAGCCUGACGGAGCAACGCCGCGUGAGUGAUGAAGGUCUUCGGAUCGUAAAACUCUGUUAUUAGGGAAGAACAAAUGUGUAAGUAACUAUGCACGUCUUGACGGUACCUAAUCAGAAAGCCACGGCUAACUACGUG